GUCAGUGAGCACGGAGAAAGGGGAAGGGCACGUCACCCGUUAUGCUUCGAAACUGGUCACUGUGCACCGGCAGCUCGGCAGCACGCGAUCGCACGGUCCAACAUUGUGAUCUUAAAUACAGGUACGAGCCGGUUACCGUAACGCCCCGGUUCAAAGUUUUGGGCGAGGCGACAUCUGUGUCCAUGCAUCCGAUGAAAGGCAUGUCGUUCCAGAUUUCACUUUGUUUUGAUACUUUCAAAAUGUUUGAGGCAAAAAUGAUCUGCCGGUAAAUGUUGACGUGGAUCGAGUAACGGCUUUUGUAAUUCUAACACCGGCAUAGAUUCAUUCAUGUGCUUUCGUGACGUCGGAGCACUCCUAUUGGGUUGAAAAAAAAACAUGUUCAGGUGGCGUUUUUAGAAAGGAACAAGUAGGAAUAUGCUUUCACAAAUGCAGCUAUCCUCUGUGUUUAGUCAGAAUAAGCAAGAUUGACAUUCCCAAUGUGAAUUUAGGAGAAAUCCUCUGCGAUGAGCACUUGAUCUCUUUUUCUAAGAGGUGGCCACUAUGUGAUUCAUUUCCUCUUUCCUCUGAACCGCGCCACUUUAUUAUUUAGCGGAGGUUUUUACGGAUUCAACACUUUCUGGAUGGACUUCAUAUAUCUCAAAUGAGUGAACUGAUGUAUCUCUCCGUGAAUAGCAAAUUGAGGGUAGCGUAUUGUUUAAUAACAAAAGCCACAAUCAUUUAUUGACACUUUCUUUCUCACAUUGCAAGUAUCUUGAGUGGAAGUUUGCAAAACAAUCUACACUUCUACAGUAUAUACUUCACUGCAUAUAUAAAGAGAGAGUGUAUAUUUCUUACUGCAUAUCACCUGUGCCGUGAAAUCCAAAUACGCCUCUUGAGCUCACAAAAGUUGAGGAGAGAUAGAUUUCCUUCCUAACAGGAAGGCCAGCAAGGAAGUGAUACAAAGACGCACACGAAAUGCGUCCAUCUUACCAGCAACGGAAUUGGGGCGAGGCAUAAGGUAGAGGGGGAUGGAGUGGGUGGAUCCAGACAAGCGCUUGGAGUCUUGUCCCCAAUCUGGGUGGAGUUUGUUAAGGCUGUACGUGGAAGCCAUGUCGUCCUCAGCCCUGCAGAGGAAGCCGUCGUUCGAGCUUCCCGUCGCUAUCGUACAGGAAGAGGAAGUCCACGCCGCCGCUGGCCGCCCCGCCCGCUUCCACAGUUUGAGGCUGCCGUCCUGGUCACGGGGAACCGGAGUCUAUCCGAGCUGACGACACAUUGGAGCGGUUACCCUUCAAUCGCAGGUCACUUCGAUAGACUCGUGCGCUCACAUUCACACCGUCACAAAGUAGCACCAGCGACUGCGCUCCUAUCUCCUUUUUUGGGGUCACAGCUUUGCUGACAUCCUGUCUGCGCUUACCCGUCCAUCGACUUGGGCAUGGUGAGGUGACCCAGGUUCUUCGUUGAUAAUCUUUUCUCCCAAUAAAAAGCCCAGUCUGGUCAUCAGCGCAUCGGCUGCCUCGUCUACUGACGGAGGUGGUCCUAACUCCUCCUCUUCACCUGCAGAUGUAGAGAGGCAAAGGAAAAAAAAUGGAUGCAAACAACUUGGUGUUACAUGCCGUUUCUUGUGUCUGGAUCGUUUGAUAUCAAUCUCAGACAAGCUCUGGUCAUUAGAUGAGCCUAAUUAACGGACAAUCGUUUAAGGUAGAGUAAUUGUUCCACCUUAUCAAGCAAGUCCUAGUUUCGUGUUUUUUUGUUUUUGUUUUUUUGUAUUAUUAUUAUUAUUAUUAUUAUUAAUAGUUUAGUGCCCUGAAAACACAAAAUUGUACUGUUCAAUAAUGUGUGACUCCAAAAUACUGUGAUUUCAAAUGCUCUACGUUUUGGGACGACUGCAUAUGGAUGGUUUGUGCGAAAUGAUCAUUGAAGCUUUCUUCAUGAUACCCAACCUUAAAUGCACCAUUUUGUUUGUUGGCCGUCUAAAUCGGAGAUCUCAGCCAAAACACUGCACUUUGUGAGUACAGCCAAGCCUCCAAGUGCCUGAAAGCCUUGGGCUCUUUUCACUACUCCAGCGUAUACUAGAUCCAUUUUUCUCAAGACGGCGAGUGAACAAAUUUAGCUCGAGAUUUGUCUCACUAUUUUGUCUCUUCUGCUAGGCGAUCCCUUCCCCCUGUUGAACCAUCCUUCUGUUUUCACUGCAGUCUCACCCAUUGCCAGCAAAUGGAAGGGACUGACCAGGAUUUGAUGGUCUCCAACUAAACAUCUUUUGUCAACUGCAGUGAGUAAGGAUACAUUCAGACAGUAAGGAAAGAGUAAAAAUGGGAGCUUUUCUCUCUUUACGUGAGUCAAACGUUUCAGCGAUGACAACGGCGAUCGCCUGCAGAAAAGCAUCUCAUCGAUGGGGAUGCACGUGAAGGUCCGGUAUCGUGAAUAUGAGCAAGAAAUCCUUGUCCAAAUGCAUUUGCAGGACAGCAUUUGAAUCGAGACACUUGAGUCUCGGAGGUGAUGUGUCUCUGCUUGUCGCAGCUAAUGUAAUUUUCUGGAAAAUCAUCUAGAGCGACACAAACAACAACAGCCCGCGUCCUGCCUUUUACGGGUACUUCCUCCCAUAUCCCUAAAACAUGCAUUUUCAGUCAGUCCAUUGAAGAUGUCCAUCGGUGUGAAGGGCAAUUCGUCUAUAUGUGCUCUGCUGCGAUUGGCGAGUGAACCCCGCGCCAGUUCACCCACGAUGCUAAUGAGGACGAGUGCUUCGGAAAACGGACGGACGGAAUUGACGUCGUGUCGUAAGGCGACUCAUUCGAAGCGGCGCGAAUCCAGCCUCAUGAUAUGGGACACCACUUGCAAUCCAGGCAUUGCUCGAUUAUCUUUCCAUUUUUGAACCUUCAAAUCCAGUUUGAGUUCAUGAAUGUUUUUCUUGAUGGGAACAGAUUGACCCCGGCGACACAGGCAUUUCUGUUCCCAAAUCUCAACAAACGAGGUCAACUAGAAUGCCAGAUUUAGAGAUAAGACUCUUUAAAUUUUACUAUUGAUUCCAUGACUAUCAUUACUAAAAUGAAAUCUGUUGUGUCGCUAAUUUAGAAUGAGUACAUGGAGGACAUCAAUUCCAACACCUUACUUUAACCCAAACAUUUGCGUGUCCGUAACUCGCUGUUGUGAGGCAUGAAAGGAAUUGAUAUUCACGGAGAAAAGAAACCAGUGAGACUGUGUAAAACCUGUAUAGAAACUGCGCCACUACACACCUUGAAGUCUCAGCGCCCUUUGCACAAUGCUCAGUGCACCGGACUAUUGCAAUAUUAGUCAUUGGAACUGCUCUAAGUGCUAGAGGACUUUUGCGCAUUGCGCAUCUUUUUGCGCAAUUGUUUUUUGUCAAUGUCUUUAUGUCGCCAAAGGGUUCUGCAAAUUGACCGUCCGCCGUACUAGAGCGGCUCCGGCUGCCGGAGACAAAUUCCUCGUGUGUUUUGGACAUACUUGGCAAAUAAAGAUGAUUCUGAUUCCGAAACGGUUCUGUAACGUUCCAAUUUAAGUGGUGUGAAAGUAAA